CCUGGAAUAACACGAGGAAACUUGUGCUAAUACCGGAUAAGUCUUUACGGAGAAAGCUUUAUGCACCAUUGGAUGAGCCCGCACUUGAUUAGUUUGUUGGUAGGGUAAUGGCCUACCAAGACUGUGAUCAAUAGCUGAUUUGAGAGGAUGAUCAGCCACAUUGGGACUGAGACACGGCCCAAACUCCUACGGGAGGCAGCAGUGGGGAAUCUUGCACAAUGGAGGAAACUCUGAUGCAGCGAUGCCGCGUGAGUGAAGAAGGCCCUUGGGUUGUAAAGCUCUUUCGUCGGGGAAGAAAAUGACUGUACCCGAAUAAGAAGGUCCGGCUAACUUCGUGCCAGCAGCCGCGGUAAUACGAAGGGACCUAGCGUAGUUCGGAAUUACUGGGCUUAAAGAGUUCGUAGGUGGUUGAAAAAGUUGGUGGUGAAAUCCCAGAGCUUAACUCUGGAACUGCCAUCAAAACUUUUCAGCUAGAGUUUGAUAGAGGAAAGCAGAAUUUCUAGUGUAGAGGUGAAAUUCGUAGAUAUUAGAAAGAAUACCAAUUGCGAAGGCAGCUUUCUGGAUCAUUACUGACACUGAGGAACGAAAGCAUGGGUAGCGAAGAGGAUUAGAUACCCUCGUAGUCCAUGCCGUAAACGAUGUGUGUUAGACGUUGGAAAUUUAUUUUCAGUGUCGC
rnacentral:rRNA from 1 species